rnacentral:tRNA from 2 species
GCGGAAAUAGCUCAGUUGGUAGAGCAUAACCUUGCCAAGGUUAGGGUCGCGAGUUCGAGUCUCGUUUUCCGCUCCC